rnacentral:lncRNA from 10 species
GGACAUGGAAAUUUCUAGAAAGAAGGCGCAAGCAGGGACACCGGCGAUAAAAAGUUCCCUUUGUAACCAGACCAGCUGAGACCAGUUACAAAGCCUACCCCAGGUAUCCGACCAGAUGACUUCAAAAAGACCUCAGGCUUCAUUAUAAUCUAAUUUCCAUGCUAAAUGACACUUCCACCAGUGUCAUGACGGUUGCCAGUCCCCGUGACAAUGACCAGAAGGAGCCAUAAAAGGACAAAAACAAGGGAGCCCCUCAUUCCAAGAAGUGUACCGCCCAGUUCCAGAAAAGACAUGGAUAUUCCUCCUCUUGCUUUUAAUGUCCAGCCAUCAUUAAGGAAACCCUAUAUGAUAACCCCCUCACCCCUCACUAAUUGAGAAGUUGAUUUGUGAGCCAAGCUCCCGCUUCUCAAUUCCAUGGCCAUCGAAUAAAGC